rnacentral:rRNA from 1 species
UACGGAGGGGGCUAGCGUUGUUCGGAAUCACUGGGCGUAAAGCGCACGUAGGCGGGUCAGCAAGUCAGGGGUGAAAUCCCGGGGCUUAACCUCGGAACUGCCUUUGAAACUGCUGACCUUGAGGUCGAGAGAGGUGAGUGGAAUUCCCAGUGUAGAGGUGAAAUUCGUAGAUAUUCGGAAGAACACCAGUGGCGAAGGCGGCCAACUGGCCCAUUACUGACGCUGAGGUGCGAAAGCGUGGGGAGCAAACAGG